UACGUAGGGGGCAAGCGUUGUCCGGAUUUACUGGGCGUAAAGAGCGCGUAGGCGGAAACGCCAGUCCGGCUUGAAAGCCCCCGGCUCAACCGGGGAGAGUGGCUGGAAACUGCGUUUCUUGAGGGCGAGAGAGGAGGGUGGAAUUCCUGGUGUAGCGGUGAAAUGCGUAGAGAUCAGGAGGAACACCCGUGGCGAAGGCGGCCCUCUGGCUCGACCCUGACGCUGAGGCGCGAAAGCGUGGGGAGCGAACGGG
rnacentral:rRNA from 1 species